ensembl:lncRNA
UGUGAACAUUCUGUCACGAACAUCCUUAGACACACUUGCGGAGGCAGAUGUGCGGGAAUUUCUCCAGGGCUAUUCUAGGGGCAAAACUGCUGGGCUGUGGGGUUGACGCAUCUGCACAUUGACGAGAUUAUUCUGGCUGCUGUGUGGGAGCUGGAUGGCAGGAGGCAAGAGUGAAGGCUGAGAGCCCGCAGUCAGCCCAGGCAAGAGGUCGCGAUGACCUUGCCCAGGAGAUUGGCAUCAGGUGAGUUAAAUGAGUUGAAGAAAUAGGACAUAGGCUCUAACACUUAACAAGCCCAUGAGAAAAAAGAAAUCCCCUUCUGAUGGGGAAGCCUCAGGGGAGAAGGACCAGGGAUGGCCAGACUCUCACUCGGGAGAGCUAAUGGUGAGGUGAGGCCCAUCCGAGGAUUGAGUUCUGAGCAAAGGCUGGAUGUCACGUUCUGUGAAGCUUCUGAACUAAUGGCGAGGUGGUAAAGAGCAAAUGGAGAAGUCGAGAGAUGCAGAGAAGGUAGGGUUGACCAGUUGGCGAUGGAUAAAGAUGGAGAAGGAGUCCAGGAUGAUCCCCAGACAUCUGGCUUGGCAAUGGGCUGGUACUCAUGGGGAGGAGCAAUGUCCUUAUUUGUCGUCUUUGAAAUCCAAAGCAAAGGGACCCCUUUGGGACCUGACAACGUCCAACCAUUGGCUCCCAAUCUUUCUUCCUAACAAGAGAUUCUCCUUUGUUUGACCUGGUUACACAGCUGGUGUCGGAACAGAGACACUUUGCCCAAGUGUCCCUGGCAAGCCUUACCACAACUACCAUUGUUUACACCCCAUCCCGCUGCAUUUUCAGCUCCGCUCCUGAGCUCCCAACCACAUGUUAGUGUUAAACCACCGGUCUCCACCAGGAGUCUCCGUGCCUUUGGCUACGUUGUGUCUUCUGCUUCCACCCCUUUUCAGCUUACCAAGUUUCCAGUCCUAUUUCAAGACCUUGUUCAAAUGCCCAGUCCUCUAAGAAACUCUUCUGCCCCAUCUCAGGCAGAAUUACUCGCUCCUUCCUCUGCUGUCUCCUCCAUUUUGCAAAUGUCUCCUCUGCUAACCUAAGAGGAAAUAUUCUUUGCUUUUCAUCUCAGUAUUUGCCGAGUUCAUAAUAAGCACUCAGUAAACAGUGAAGAAAUAAACAAAUGCCUGAAAUGAGUAAAUUUGUUCUCGUCUUCACUGGUUUGUUUUGCUACCUAGAAAUAGCAGAGGGUUAGAGAGCCACGAAAUGAAGACUUCUAGCCCUUGCCUUUUGUCUGGAAUCCCUUGCUACCACUUAUCUGCUGUCUGGGGAAAUCACUUACCUUUAAGCCUAGUGUGUUGCCUGCGCUGUUACUCAGGGUUGCCGACACCCACCCGGCCACAGUGUUGUGAAGGUUCAGCGGGCCGGUGUGUGACGUGCCGCCGGCCCCUCCACAGUUUGUCUCCAGCAGGAGGUGGUGGAUGGGGGUGGUGGUAACAAAGACUUAGUUUGUUGCAUGAUUUUCCUUGUGAAGGGGUUGUCUCUUGAAAGGAUGAUCACUGUGGGUUGAAUUUUGUCUUCCAAGAAGAUAUGUUGAGGUCCUAACCCCAUAUGCCUGGGAAUGUGAGCUUAUUUGGAAUUAGGGUCUUUGUUAUCAAAUUAAGAUGAGGUCACCUUCGGUAGACCGGGCUCUAAUCCAAUAAUUGGUGUCUUUACACGAAGAGGAAAUUGUGUUUCUUUUGUCUUGUUUUUUCAGCUUUGUUGAGGUGUAAUUGACAAAUAAAAUUGUACAUUUUUAAACUAUACAAUGUAGUGACUUGACAUAGGUUAUAAUUUGCGAAAUGACUACCGCAAUCCAGUUAAAUUAACAUAGCCAUCACCUCACAUAGCUACUUUGUGUGUGUGUGUGUGGCGAGAACACUUAGGGUCUACACUCCUGGCAAAUGUCAAGCACACAACACAGUCCUGGUAGCCGUGGUCACCGUGCCGCGCUUUAGAGCCUCGGGUCUUGUUCACCUCCUGACUGGAGGCUUGGACCCUUUGACCAGCCUCUCUCCGUCUUCCCCAGCCCUGCAGCGCCUGGUAGCCACCAUUCUACUCUCUGUUUCUAUGAGUUCAACUUUUUAUUUUUAUGUUUUAGAUUCCACAUAUGAGUGAGAUCAUACAAUAUUUGUCUUUCUCUGUCUGGCUCAUUUCAUUUAGCAUAAUGUCCUAUAGGUUCAUCCACCUUAUUGCAAAUGGAAAGAUUUCCUUCUUUCUCAUAGCUGCAUAGUAUUCCAUUGUGUGUGUGCGUAUACAUAGAUAGAUAGUUAGAUAAAUCACCUUCUCCAUUCAUGUAUCCAUCAAGGGACUGUUAGGUUGUUUCCGUAUCUCGGCUAUUGUGAAUAAUGCUGCAGUGGACAUGGGGGUGCAGCUAGCUCUUUGAGAUAUUGAUUUUGUUUCUUUCAGAUAUAUAUCCAGAAAUGGGAUUGCUGGAUCAUGUGGUAGUUCUAUUUUCAAUUUUUUGAAGCACCUCCAUAUUAUCUUCCACAGUGGCUGCACCAAUUUCUAUUCCUACCAACAGUGCACAAGGAUUCCCUUUUCCUCACAUCCUCGCCAAAACCUGUGAUCUGUUGUCUUUCUGAUGAAAGCCAUCCUAACAGGUGUGAGGUGAUGAUUCAUGGUGGUUUUGAUUUGCAUUUCCCUCAUAAUUAGCCAUACUGAGAACCUUUUCCUGUACCUGCUGGCCAUUUGUGUGUCUUCUACAGAAAAACGUUUAUUCAGGUCCUUUGUGCAUUUUUUAAUUGGACUAUUUGGGAUUUUUUGCUAUCAAGCUGCAAAACUUCUUCAUAUGCUUUGGAUAUUAACCCCUUAUCAGAUUUACGGCUUGCAAAUAUUUUCCGCCAUUCGGUAAGUUGCCUUUUCAUUUUGUUGAUGUUUCCUUUGCUGUGCAGAAGCUUUUGAAUUUGAUGUAAUCCCAUUUAUUUUUGCUUUUGUUGCCUGUGCAUUGUUAAGACCAAUGUCAAGGAGCUUUUCCCCUAUGUUUUCUCCUGGUCGUUUUACGGUUUCAGGUCUUACAUUUAAGCCUUUAAUCCAUUUUGAGUUAGUUCUUUGGAGCGGUGUGAGAUAGGGGUGUAGUUUCAUUUUUUGCACGUGGCUGUCCAGUUUUGCCAGCAUCAUUUAUUGAAGAGACUGUCCUUUCCCUGUUGUAUGUUUUGGUGCCUUUGUUAAAGUUGGUUGACUGUCUAUGUGUGGGUUUAUAUCUGGGGUCUCUGUCUGUUCCAUCUGAUCUAUAUGCCAGCACCAUACUGUUUUUAAUUACUGUGGCUUUGCAAUAUAGUUUGAAACCAGGGAGUGUGAUGCCUCCAGCUUUGCUCUUUGCUCUCAAGAUUGCUUUGGCUGUUUGGGGUCUUUUGAGGUUCCAUAUGAAU